UCUAUUUUUAACUUUUUAAGGGACCUCUACACUGUUUUCCAAAGUGGCUGAACCAACUUGCAUUCCCACCAACAGUGUAAGAGGGAUCCCCUUUCUUUAGGAGGAGACCCAGUGAAGAAGUCCACUGUUACUCCUGGCCUCCCCACAGUCGAUCCCCUGUCAACUAUGUUAGGUGAGUUAAGGUCUUAAGCAGCACCUGUGGUAGGAGCUGAACCAACGAGAAGGGGUGACCCAGAAUCCAUGUCUGACCCUGAAUUCCUGUUCCUUGCUUCUGUCACCGGUCGGACAUGAUCCCUCAACUGACAGCUGAGAGGGCGCGGAUCAGGAUCUCCCUUUGCCUUGAUGCUCUGCUGAAAUUUCAGUUCAGUCCUGUCUCUUAGGCAUAAAAGAAAGACAUGGGGCUCUGUGGCUUCUAUGCCCAACUCAUUAACCCAUUUGGGAAGAUGGUACCUUCCAGGCUGCCCACAGCUAGAAAGUCUGGAGGACAGUUAAAGGAGGGAAGUGGGGCUAGGUCAGGAGGCUGAUUUGGGUUGAGGAUGGGGAAGGGGGCAAGGGUUUCUGGGGUGAGACCCAGGCCUGCAGGGCAGUGUUGUGGGGUGGGUCCAGCCUCUAGGGGGAGCGUGGGUCUGAGGCAGGCUUAGGGGGACUGCAGACCAGGAGAGCUAGUGCUCCAGACCCCAUGUCCCCUGAAGGCAUGGGAGUGAGGCAGGUUUGCCCUCAUGUGCAGAAAAAACGGUCACGGAGAAGAAAUGGGACUGGACAUCCAUCACACACUUCCUUCUUCCUGCCUGUAGGGGAGCUCAGAGGGAGCCCUGUAAUACAGCAAGUCUCUGUCUUCUCACGGCCUCACCUGGAACCAGAUGAUCCCACUCUCAUGUGGGCUCCCUGCAGAGCAGGGCCAGGGGAAGUGCUUGUUGGAGGUUGGCAGAACUGAUGCAAGAGGGUAUUUCUGAAUGCAGGGACUAUCUAUGGGUUCGGGGUGGUGGGGGCGGAGAUGGGGUCUGUUUUUAUUUUCUUUUCCCUGCAUUCCCUGCCCUUUCACUGUCCUGCAGGGGCAAGGUGAGCCCAAGCUUGGGCUGGCUACAAAGGAACCAAAUGUGGCCUCAAGUCCAUUACCUUCUCCUCCAUUGGGCGUGGGUAACAGGGAGAGCCCCUGGGCAGGGCAGGAGCAGGACAGCAUGUCCUCCAACCUCCCAUGGAGGAAGGGGCAGCAGGGUGGAAAGGCUUUGAAUGGGGGCCAGAGGAGGGGAGAAGGUGCAGACUCUCAGCCCCACGAGGGGGGAGGGCUGGGAACCUGCUUCCAAGGCUUUAGAUACAGACGGGGGAGGAAAGAAUGGCUACAGAGCACACCCUCUCUAUCUGUGGGAAGGAGAGGUGGCCGCAGGCGUCCAAGGUCUGUCUGGGGCCCACACUAAGAUCCUCAGAUGAGAGGUGUUGAAGGGCUAAACAGCUGACCGAAGCUUCUGGCUGAGUCAGGAAGGCAGAGUCGGGUGUUAACCUUUGUAAAGGGAUUUACCAGGGGACCAGCUCCUGAACCUCCCGCCAUCUCUGGGCCUCACCUACUAGGAGGGGAAGACAGGUCCGGUGAUAAAGGCGCACUUUCCACAAUAACAAAUCACAACUUCGUACAUACCGUGUGAACGAUGAUGGUUGUUAUGAACGCAGACUUGUGGUAUAUGCACAGAAGUAUUCUUGUAUGGAGGGACGGCCUACGUUCGCAGUUGUUCUCAGAUUUGGAAGCACAAAGGGAGCUUUAUGUACUUCUUAGGAGUUUGGUGUGUUUGCACAAUUUCUGUUACGUCUACUCCCAGUAGAAUGUUGUUCAAAGUUGCCUGGAUGAACACAGGAGAGAGACACGUUGCACGAAGUUGGAAUUCGCUGCAGAUUUUAAUCCCUGGUUGCCCAGAUCAUGGUGCAAGAGCAUCUUCCCAGGCAGAACGUGGGGUCCUUUGCUUCCAAGCAUAAGCUUGGCUCUCCCAACUCAGACCCUCAGGACUUCUAUCCAUGGAUUGGUGCCUGUGUCUCACAUGUUCCAAAUGCAAAACUCACAAAUGUGGUCCCUGUGGGAAUUACUUCCCAGACCGUGGCUCAUAAGUCUUAUAGAUCCCAGCCAGGCUUGUGGGACACCCUAGUUUUAGUGGGACUUAGUUUGUGAAUGUUGUCUCCGCCAGGCAGAGAGAUUCUUUAUUUAUUUAUUUAUUUAUUUUUAAUGGAGACAGACUUUUUCUUACCUGUUCUCCCUUCCUUUCUCCCCACUGUCAUCUCCAGCCCUGGGAACCCUUCUCCAGAUUGUAAAGAGAAGGAAAGAGCAUGGGAGAGAGGAAAGAUAAUGGCCCACCAGAUCAAACAGAUAUGCACCUUAUUCCCUGGGGGAAAACAGUUCCUUUCCAAGUGCCCUUGGACUUCAACUGGAAGAUGAAGUCAGUUCUUUCUAACCUAUGUGGUUGUUCAGAGAAUUCAAAGGUAUCAAGUGCUCUACAUGCCCAAAGAUCCUUUGACACCAAGUAGGGUCUUCCUGGCCAUGAUCCAUCCAUAUGUGAAUUUCUUUUCUUCCUUUUCUUUCUUUCUUUCUUUUUUUUUUAAAGAUUUUAUUUAUUUAUGAGAGAGAGAGAGGGAGAGAGAAAGCAUGUGUUGGGGGGGAAGGCCAGAGGGAGAGGGACAAGCAGACUCCCCCGGCAAGCAAGGAACCUGACCCGGGGCUUGAUCCCAGGUCCCAGAGACAGUGACCCAAGCCGAACACAGAUGCCUGACCGACUGAGCCACCCAUGCGCCCCACCAUAUUUGAUUUCUUAAGUCCCAACAACUACAUCUGAUGUACCUCUGGCAGUCCUUGUUUCCACCUGUGAGGACCCAGAGGCACAGAGAAGUGAAUAACUUUUUUAGAUCACAUUACAGGGAGGUAGUGCACUGAACCUUCCAUCCCAGAUGUGCAGAGGAAGGAUCACAUUGGGGUAGUCUGUUUCUGGCUCUGGGAAUGAGCCCACUCAAGAUAAAUGGGCCCCACACUCUUUCCCCAAGGCAGGAAUCGGCCAUGAUCAAUGCCUGUCCGUUCUCUGUGGUGACCACCAACUGCAAGGUAGGCAAGGAAUGUCAUCCCGUGAACUGGGAAUUAGGGGCUGUCCGUAUGGGGGCACUGCUCCCUUGUGCCUCUCGGGUUAACCACGUCAACAACGCAUUCGUGUUUUCAUCAGCUGGUUUUGAUUAUUUGAUAGGUGCAAGGCAUCUUUCUAGGUGCUGAGGAGAAAGCAGUGAACACAAUCCAGGAAAGUCUUGCAUUCAUGGCACAUUCGUCCUUGAGAGGGGAAAGACACAAGACACAUAAGUAAGGAAAAGCCUUCGAAUGACAAACUGGGUUAAGCAUGUGCGAGAAAACUGGAGAGGGAUGUGGCCAGCAUGGUCAGAGAGUUUUGCACACACAUACAGAUAUUUCCUGUUUACCCAUGAGCACGUUGGCAAGCCUCACUUAAUUGAGUGACACUUAGUAGAUGAAAAAGGGAGGUACAACUGUGUGGCGCUGUCUGGAGGGAGUGAGGCAAAGGCAGAGAACUGAUGGGAAAACUCAUUUCCAGGCCUCCCUGCUCCUUUCCCCCAAUCACACCCCAUUUCUAGUGACUAAUCCAAAUAUGGCUUCCUCUCUCCCCAUCACCCCCAGUGUAAGUCUCUCCCACUAUAAUCAUUUCUGGUCUUUGUCUCCCUUGGACAAAUUAAUGAAUAAAGCUCAAGGGAAACAGAUCAUCGAAACCUCUUCAGCCCCCUUUCUUGAACUGUCCCAUCCAUCUCUCAGAGGGGUGCUACACUGGCCCGUCAGACCACAUCUGGAGCAUCAGGCUCUGGCCCUGGUGACCCACUUUGGGAGGGGUGUAGUACCGCUGGAGGUCACGCUGAGGCCAGUGUCCAGGAUGGUCAUACCUGAAAGGGACUGAGCAACUCCCUCACAGAUGCUCAGUGACCCCAGGUUUGUCGUAUGUGAAAGGUUGUCCUGUGGAUGUGGGGUUAGACAGGCUCUUUGUAGGCCAACUUCCAGAACUACAAGUGAAGUGAAGAGGGACUAGCGAGAGAGAUUCUCUACCAGCAUUAAUUAGUACCUUAUGCUAGACCUAAUAAAAUGAAAUGGGGUGUCUGGAUGAGUUCUGAGUAUCUGGAGGAAUGCAAAUGCAGACAGGGUGUACCCUCUCCUGGGAACAUUAUAGAGAGGAUGCAGGUGGCUUCAUCUGAAAUUUAUGGUUCUGUGAUCUAGUGGGCUGCCUGAGGGCAGGUGAUGGGAAUAAAUAAAGCUGGAGCCUCCCUCUGGGACUGUCUCAGGAAUGGGCGCGAGGAUGUUCCAGUUCCUUCUGCUGGGGAUAUUCACAGUGCUCUUCAUGGAUGAAGGUAAAGCCUGGUGAGGGAGGUGGUGAUGGGUGACUUUUUGGGCUGCUGUAAAAUGGUUUAAGGAGAUUUUUUUUCUUUUUCUCUUUGCAGGAGACAGAGUCCUGACAUCAAAAUGUAUGUUGUAGUUGGUUUGCAAUUUUUGCAUUAAUAAUGCCACAAUGAGAGGGGACGUUCCCGAUUUUUUCAAACAUUGUCCCUCUACCCACCCUGACUAUAUUCUACUCUUCUCACUCACUGCUCUUGUGGUUUUUUUCUGCCCCCAGCCUUGGGUGAAUGGGGGAGGAGGCUUGAAUCCUUGUGGUCAUAGCUGUCACCCACUCAAGGGAGUAAGGACUCCUGGCAGAAGUUGGGAAGGGUGUCAACUUCCUUCUUGUGAGGUCUACACCUCUACAGUGUAAAUGUUGAUAUUGGGGUAGGCUUCUGAAGCAGACUUAACUUUCCCUAGAGCUCUGCUUUCAAUCUUUCCUCUCUUUAUUUAGUGGUUCGGUUUUGCUAUCAAUGUGCCCACUUUAAUGGAUAUAAAUGCCUCACUGGCUUGAAAAAGUGCUGGAAGUUCAAUCUAACAAUUCACAACAGGAGUUGUUCCAUAGAUCACUACUACUAUAGUGAUCGAGUAACAGGGAGAUCUCUGUAUCGUUACACAGAACUGUCUUGUAAACCUUGUGAAGAGGGAAUGAAACAAAUAUACCAUGACUUACUGAAAGAAACAUUGUGCUGCAGUCAUGAUGACAUGUGUAAUAAUGGCCACAUAAAUUUAGAUACUACAAUUAUAUUUGGAAGAGGGAUCGAUAACAUGACUGAUGUGAUAAUAGAAAGCUAAACAUGUGCUUAAGAUUUUGAACCAUAUAGGAACACACAUCUUAUUAAAUAAUACUUUCCCCUCCCCCUAAAAUAGACAGAGUAUAGGGGCACCUGACUGGCUCAGUCUGAAGAGCAUGGGACUCUUGAUUUCACGAUUGUGAUUCAAGCCCCAUGUUGGGUGUAGAGAUUUCUUAAAUAAAUAAACUUAAAAAGAAAAGAAAAAGAGAUAGUAUAAAAGGAGAUAGACCAUAAAGUAGAAGAGAUACACACAAAUGCACACACACCGUAAAACAAUAUAACAGCAUUGACUAAACAUAUUAGCCAAAGUAAAAAGAUUUUAGUUUAGUAUACAGUGCAAUAUCCAACUCUGUGAUGAUUUAGAAAUAUGACCAAGUCAAAACAAUUCAAAAUGUGUAAAUAUAAAUGAACGGGAAAAAUAUGUAUUAAAAACCCAUAGGGAUUUUGAGCCUAUUUAUGGGCUCAAUCAUCAAAAGAGAUAAUAUACUUUACGUUAUCAAAGCCACUAAUCUACAAUAAAGAUCUAAAUUAUUAAAACAGGCAGCCAAUACCACAGCAACAACUUUUCUUAACAACUCUCCUAUAGAAAUUAUAAGAGAGAUGAUGAGAAAAAGAAAUGCAUGCUAAUCACCAGAUCAUGUGGAUAAAUAAUGAGCAAGGGGAUUAAAGACAUAUAUAACAUGAUUAUUAAGGUUUAUUAUCAUAAACCUAUAUCUAAUUCUGAACCCAGAUAAUAGAGAACACGGCUUUUCAAAUGCACAUGGAACAUUCACAAAGAUUAGUCACAUAUUAGCCCUGUGGAGGAUUGAGUUGAUUUACAUCUGAAAUGUAAAAGGUCCGUAUUUUUCUCAGUCCAUGUUUGGAAUUUUGGCCAGGAUAAAAACCUUUAAAGUCUGAAACUCUCCUGGUGACUCCCAGCAUCAUUUUAUUUACUGAUAUAAAUAAACUAUUUUCCAGCCUGGCUUGAUCACAUGGUCAGAGACAUUAUAAUCCCACCCCUCGCCACCAACCACAUGCACUGUCAUUAAGAACUUCUGUUUAAAAUAGUCCUGAAGCUGAGAUUCCUCACACAGAUUUUGAUUGUGCAGUGCAGUGACAGAGAGCAGUCUGUAGGUAAAUGAGGACUCUGGGAGCUUGUGCAUGGAAUGUCUCUUGGAUUUCCCCCAAUUUUUGUCUGUACUCUCCUUUUGCUGCACUGUAUUCUUUGUCUUUAAAUAAAAGCUCUAUUCAAUAUGCACUAUAAGUAUGUUCCUAGAGAAUAAGUGUGUUCUGUGAAGUCUGAUGAGGUGUUCCAGAUAUCUAAAUUUGGGAAAUCUUUGCAAACCCUCAAAGAAACACUUGAUAAAUUCCGAGAAAUAGAAAUAAUAAAAGCAAUAUUCACUUACCACAUGCAAUAAAGUAGAAGUUAAAAACAAGACCAAAAAGGUGCCACCACCUGGAAAUAUAGAAAGGUGUUAUCAAGGAGCUCUUAAUAGGAAAAUCUAGGACCAAAAAAAAAGCAGAAUUUCUUAGCAGAAAACAUUACGUAUCAAAAGUUAUGGAAUACAGCUAUAGCAUUUAUCAGAGGAAAAUUCAUAGCAUUAAAUACACAUAAAAUUUAAAAAGUGGUAAACACUCAACUCAAAAUAGCAGACCAAGAACAAAGUAAGCAGAAAAAAGGAAAGAAGUAGCACUACGUAAAAGCAGAUAUCUCAGAAGUAGUGUAUUCACUCCAUAUGGCCAUCAUUCAUUCUGUGGCUGUGUACAUAGACUUAGUGGCUUAAACACAUUAUCUCACAGUUUCUAUAGGUCAGAAGUCCAGACAGAGCUUAGCUGGGUCCUCAACUCAGAAUCUCACAAGACUGCAAUCAAGGGGUAGACCAAGCCAUGUUCUCAUUUGAUAACAAUUUAGGAAGAAUUCACUUCUAAACUCUUUUGGCCUGUUGGUAGAAUUCAUCUCUGUAGUAGUAUAACUGAGGUUCUUUUCUUUCUAGCUCUUGGCUGGGGCCUCUUUCAGCUCCAAAAGGCCAUUCAUUCACAGCUCUCUACCACGUAGCUAGCUAUCCCCAUAGUCAAUUUACAACAUCACUGCUCCUUCAAGGCCAGUGGGAGAGUGUCUCUCCUGUUUGCUAAGAUCCAGUCUUAUAUAAUGUAACAUAAUAUGAAUGAUAUUCUUUCACCUUUGCUACAUUCUAUUGGUUAGAAGUAAGUCACAAGUUCUGCCCACACUCAAGGGAGGGGGUUAUUCAAGGGGUGAAUCAUUGGGUAUAUCCCAUACCUUAGGAUGUGUCUGCUACAUAUAGAAAACAGGAAAUAAAUACAACAAAUGAAUUAAAAAGUUUAAAUAAGCAAAUCACAAGUUAACCUGUUAUUUAAAAAAGGAGACUGCACAAAUACAAAAUAUUAGAUAUUGCAAAGGAGUAAUAAACAUCCAAACUGAGGAAAUUUUAAAAAAUAUUUAAAUUUCAAAAUUAAUUUGUAUAAUCCUAUGCAAAUGAAUAUAAACAUCUAGUUGAAAUAAGUAAUUUUCUAGGAAAAUAGAAUUUUUACCCAGACUGACCCAAGCAGAAUUAGAAAGGCUACCCAAACUCAUUUCUAUUUUUAAGAAAUAGAGAAAAUUGGGGUGCCUGGGUAAUGCUGUCGGUUAAGCGACUGACUCUUGGUUUCGACUCAGGUCAUGAUCUCAGAGUCCUGAGAUUAGGCCCUGCUGCAGGCUCCGCUCUCAGGGUGGAAUCUUCUUGAGAUUCUCUCUCCCUCUCCCUCUGCCCCGCCGCCCACCAAUGCGCUCGAUCUCUUUAUCUUUCUCUUUCUAAAAUAAAUACAUAAAUCUUUAAAAAAUAAAAAACAGAGAAAAUUAUAAAAGAGCUCCUGUCACUUCCCAAAAAACACACAUCUACAUGGUUCACAGAAGAAUUCCAAAAAACUUUUUUUUUUUAAGGAGGGUAGGGGAGAGAGAGAAUCUUAAGCAGGCUCCAUGCCCAGCAUGGAGGCUGCUGUGGGGCUCGAUCCCACAAUCUUAAGAUCAUGACCUGAGACAAAAUCAAGAGUAGGAUGCUUAACCAACUGAGCCACCCAGGUGCCCUCCCCCCAAAAAACCCUUUAAUAAGUAGAUGAUUCCAAUGCUACUUAAACUAUUUCAGAGUAUAGAUAAGGAAAGGAAACAUUCUUUUUAUUAAACAGUUAUAUCCAAAUCAGUUUAUGUAAUAUAGAGCAUUCUAAAAGUCUCACUUUUUUUGGCUAACUGAACAUGAUGAAAAAAAGAAUUGGAAGAGAUUGUCUUUAAAAAGACGAUAAAAAAAA